rnacentral:rRNA from 1 species
UACGAAGGGGGCUAGCGUUGCUCGGAAUCACUGGGCGUAAAGGGUGCGUAGGCGGUCUGACAAGUCUGAUGUGAAAUCUAUGGGCUCAACCCAUAGUCUGCAUCGGAAACUGUCGGGCUUGAGUAUGGGAGAGGUGAGUGGAAUUUCCGGUGUAGCGGUGAAAUGCGUAGAUAUCGGAAGGAACACCUGUGGCGAAAGCGGCUCACUGGCCCGUAACUGACGCUCAUGCACGACAGCGUGGGGAGCAAACAGG